UGGAUAUUACUUUAAUCGUUUGAUUGUCAUAUUGUGUGAGUGAGUGAGUGUGUAUAUAUGCCUCAGUUGGCAAUAGUACAGCUGUGUCAAGGCAGCCUGUGAAUCAAGUCGUGUCAGGCAGAUUAGGGGUGGACAGCUGAAGCUAAUGUACACACGGCCAGGUCCCAGGUCACACGCUCAGUCAGGUCCCAGGUCACACGCUCAGUCAGGUCCCAGGUCACACACUCAGUCAGGUCCCAGGUCACACACUCAUCCAGGUCCAAGGUCACACUCAGUCAGGUCACGCUCAGUCAGGUCCCAGGUCACACGCUCAGUCAGGUCCCAGGUCACACGCUCAUCCAGGUCCCAGGUCACACGCUCAGUCAGGUCCCAGGUCACACGCUCAUCCAGGUCCCAGGUCACACACUCAGUCAGGUCCCAGGUCACAUGCUCAGUCAGGUCCCAGGUCACAUGCUCAGCCAGGUCACACGCUCAGUCAGGUUCCAGGUCACACACUCAGUCAGGUCCCAGGUCACACGCUCAGCCAGGUCCCAGGUCACACGCUCAGUCAGGUCCCAGGUCACACGCUCAGUCAGGUCCCAGGUC